rnacentral:rRNA from 1 species
CAUAUGGUUGUCUCAAAGAUUAAGCCAUGCAUGUCUAAGUAUAAGCAAUUUAUACAGUGAAACUGCGAAUGGCUCAUUAAAUCAGUUAUCGUUUAUUUGAUAGUUCCUUUACUACAUGGUAUAACUGUGGUAAUUCUAGAGCUAAUACAUGCUUAAAAUCUCGACCCUUUGGAAGAGAUGUAUUUAUUAGAUAAAAAAUCAAUGUCUUCGGACUCUUUGAUGAUUCAUAAUAACUUUUCGAAUCGCAUGGCCUUGUGCUGGCGAUGGUUCAUUCAAAUUUCUGCCCUAUCAACUUUCGAUGGUAGGAUAGUGGCCUACCAUGGUUUCAACGGGUAACGGGGAAUAAGGGUUCGAUUCCGGAGAGGGAGCCUGAGAAACGGCUACCACAUCCAAGGAAGGCAGCAGGCGCGCAAAUUACCCAAUCCUAAUUCAGGGAGGUAGUGACAAUAAAUAACGAUACAGGGCCCAUUCGGGUCUUGUAAUUGGAAUGAGUACAAUGUAAAUACCUUAACGAGGAACAAUUGGAGGGCAAGUCUGGUGCCAGCAGCCGCGGUAAUUCCAGCUCCAAUAGCGUAUAUUAAAGUUGUUGCAGUUAAAAAGCUCGUAGUUGAACUUUGGGCCCGGUUGGCCGGUCCGAUUUUUUCGUGUACUGGAUUUCCAACGGGGCCUUUCCUUCUGGCUAACCUUGAGUCCUUGUGGCUCUUGGCGAACCAGGACUUUUACUUUGAAAAAAUUAGAGUGUUCAAAGCAGGCGUAUUGCUCGAAUAUAUUAGCAUGGAAUAAUAGAAUAGGACGUUUGGUUCUAUUUUGUUGGUUUCUAGGACCAUCGUAAUGAUUAAUAGGGACGGUCGGGGGGCUCAGCAUUCAAUUUGUCAGAGGUGAAAUUCUUGGAUUAUUGAAGACUAACUAUUGCGAAAGUAUUUGCCCAGGACGUUUU